CCUACGGGAGGCAGCAGUGGGGAAUAUUGCGCAAUGGGGGCAACCCUGACGCAGCAACGCCGCGUGAUUGAAGAAGGCCUUCGGGUUGUAAAGAUCUUUAAUCGGGGACGAAUUUUGACGGUACCCGAAGAAUAAGCUCCGGCUAACUACGUGCCAGCAGCCGCGGUAAUACGUAGGGAGCAAGCGUUAUCCGGAUUUAUUGGGUUUAAAGGGUGCGCAGGCGGUCUGUUAAGUCAGCGGUCAAAGCCCGGGGCUCAACCCCGGCCCGCCGUUGAAACUGGCAGUCUCGAGUUGGAGAGAAGUAUGCGGAAUGCGCGGUGUAGCGGUGAAAUGCAUAGAUAUCGCGCAGAACUCCGAUUGCGAAGGCAGCAUGCCGGCUCCACACUGACGCUGAGGCACGAAAGCGUGGGUAUCGAACAGGAUUAGAUACCCCAGUAGUC
rnacentral:rRNA from 1 species